AUGAUUAUUUUUUUCAUACAUGUCACAAUUAAAUCCUCUCAUAUCUUAUCAAAUCAUCUUAUAUCUUAUCAAAUUCUUUUGCUUUAGUUGUCCACUCUCUUUUGUUUCCACUUUCUUUUGUUUUUAUGCUGUCAAAAUUCCACUUAGCAAAUCAGCCAAAUCUUUCACACAAACCUCUCACCGUGGAGCUUUUCCCUUCUUCAAUUAGCUUUUCAACAACAAGCUCAUCAUUUUUCUUCUUUCACGGAAGGUUUCUGCUUCUGUAUUUUUACAGAAAGCCUGCAUUGAUUUCAUCUAUGAUAAUCCAAGCAGACACAACCCACACAUAACAACUCUAAUCAACAGGCAAUAGCUUCAUCUGAAAUCCUCUCUCAUCCGUAAAUUGGAGAAAACCAGUCUGCUUUCACGGAGGCUUUGUGACCAGGGGGAUUAGCGCUGCUUUCCCAAGACAUGUUUAUAUGUGAUUAUGAUCUUCAGGCUUUGCCUAACCAGGUUGGCUGGCCGGUGCUGACGGGACGGAGCUGAGGCUAGCGAUAAAUUCCUAUGUUAGACUUCCGCUGUAGCAAUUACUCAUAUCAGUCUUUUGUUUUUCCAACUUAAGAUCUUCAUGUUAAAUUUCAAAUGAUAUACCUGACCGAGCUUAGACUCUUCACUACUAAAUUUAUGCCAAUGAAUGUCGGUUGUCAGAAGCAUGAAACAAAACUUGUGAUCCAAAGGGGCAUAGCCCGACUUUCUAUCCUAUUUCGGGUUUUUACAAGGUUGUUCCUUGUUUAUUUCUA